UCCGGUUUGGCACCGGCAGUCCCCCGAGAGUCCUCAGCGCCUUGCGGCCUGUUAGCAACACGGGGCGGGGGUUGCGCUCGUUGCGGGACUUAACCCAACAUCUCACGACACGAGCUGACGACAGCCAUGCAGCACCUUGCACUCUGCCUAGGUUUCCCUAGGAGGCUCCAUCUCUGGAGUUGUCAGAGGCAUUCUAGCCCAGGUAAGGUUCUUCGCGUUGCGUCGAAUUGAACCACAUGCUCCACCGCUUGUGCGGGUCCCCGUCAAUUCCUUUGAGUUCCAGUCUUGCGACCGUACUCCCCAGGCGGAUAACUUAACGCGUUAGCUGCGCCACCGAAGCUCUAAGAGCCCCGACAGCUAGUUACCAUCGUUUACGGCGUGGACUAC
rnacentral:misc_RNA from 1 species